rnacentral:rRNA from 1 species
ACUGCUCAGUAACACGUAGUCAACAUGCCCAGAGGACGUGGAUAACCUCGGGAAACUGAGGAUAAACCGCGAUAGGCCAAGAUUCCUGGAAUGGUUCAUGGCCGAAAUCUAUAUGGUCUUUGGAUUGGACUGCGGCCGAUCAGGCUGUUGGUGAGGUAAUGGCCCACCAAACCUGUUACCGGUACGGGCUCUGAGAGGAGGAGCCCGGAGAUGGGCACUGAGACAAGGGCCCAGGCCCUAUGGGGCGCAGCAGGCGCGAAAUCUCUGCAAUAGGCGAAAGCUUGACAGGGUUACUCUGAGUGAUUUCCGCUAAGGAGAUCUUUUGACACCUCUAAAAAUGGUGUAGAAUAAGGGGUGGGCAAGUCUGGUGUCAGCCGCCGCGGUAAUACCAGCACCCCGAGUGGUCGGGACGAUUAUUGGGCCUAAAGCAUCCGUAGCCGGUCCUACAAGUCUUCCGUUAAAUCCAGCUGCUCAACAGAUGGGCUGCGGAAGAUACUAUAGGGCUAGGAGGCGGGAGAGGCAAGCGGUACUCAAUGGGUAGGGGUAAAAUCCUCUGAUCCAUUGAAGACCACCAGUGGCGAAGGCGGCUUGCCAGAACGCGCUCGACGGUGAGGGAUGAAAGCUGGGGGAGCAAACCGGAUUAGAUACCCGGGUAGUCCCAGCUGUAAACGAUGCAGACUCGGUGAUGGGUUGGCCUUGUGCCAACCCAGUGCCGCAGGGAAGCCGUUAAGUCUGCCGCCUGGGGAGUACGGUCGCAAGACUGGAACUUAAAGGAAUUGGCGGGGGAGCAC